GAUGAACGCUAGCUACAGGCUUAACACAUGCAAGUCGAGGGGAAACGAUAGAGAAAGCUUGCUUUUUCUAGGCGUCGACCGGCGCACGGGUGAGUAACGCGUAUCCAACCUGCCCAUCACUUGGGGAUAACCUUGCGAAAGUAAGACUAAUACCCAAUGACGUCCAUAGAAGACGUCUGAAAGGGAUUAAAGAUUUAUCGGUGAGGGAUGGGGAUGCGUCUGAUUAGCUUGUUGGCGGGGUAACGGCCAACCAAGGCGACCAGCAGUAGGGGUUCUGAGAGGAAGGCCCCCCACAUUGGAAGUGAGACACGGUCCAAACUCCUACGGGAGGCAGCAGUGAGGAAUAUUGGUCAAUGGGCGAGAGCCUGAACCAGCCAAGUAGCGUGCAGGAUGACGGCCCUAUGGGUUGUAAACUGCUUUUAUAAGGGAAUAAAGUGAGCCUCGUGAGGCUUUUUGCAUGUACCUUAUGAAUAAGGACCGGCUAAUUCCGUGCCAGCAGCCGCCGUAA
rnacentral:rRNA from 1 species